GUUCAGUGAUGUUUACAAAUGUCUGACCUGAACAUUAAUGUGGACAAUAUCUGUUACUGAGUAA